AAGCCAACUGAUAAUAUUUGGAAAAAUCUUGUGUUAUAUUAAUAUUAAAAGAAAGAACAAAAUGUUAUUUUUAUUUAAACGUGGUCCCAAACGGUUUUAUGAGAAAUAAUGAUGUCCUCGGACGAAAUUUUAUGAAAGCGUGCCAGUUGAAACUGGAUCCAGAUGCUUUGGGAAGGGUUACGGUUAACCCAUUAGAUAGCAAAAGAUAUAGAAAAACAAUUAACAGUUAUUAACAGUAAUUAGCGAAACAGAUAUUGGAACGUGGAGCAAAUACGACAGCGAUGAUGAUCAUCUUAGGAUGCAGGAUGCAGGGUAACAUCCCAGGCAUCGCAAAACAGGCGCACU